AUGGGUUUCUCUUCUUCCUCUCGGCGCUCACGCGUAGCUUCGGUGCUACAACUUUGCCUUUGCAUGCUGUUAUGUAGAGUACAGGGAGGAUCAUCUCACGGGCAACCCCUUGAAGAAGGGAUAAACACCCUCGUGCCAGCGCCAUCAUGUUCGGCCCGAGAUAGCCUAGACAAGGAUUUUCAUCCAGAUUGCUGGGACCAACCAACGAAGACCAUCACGGCAAAGAGAGAUCCAUCUUCAUAUGAGCUCUACAUAGUUUACCUGGGCGAAGUAAAGCAUGGACACCCCAACCACGUCGUGGCUUCGCACCAUGACAUGCUCACCACCCUUCUCGGAAGCAAGGAAGAAUCUAUGGCCUCUGUGGCGUACAACUACAAGCACGGCUUCUCAGGCUUCGCGGCCAUGCUCACACCAGAGCAAGCAAAACAACUUGCAGAGGUUCCGGAGGUCAUCAGCGUUGAAAAGAACAAAAUUCACACGACGGCCACCACGCGAAGUUGGGACUUUCUUGGCCUCAACUACCAGAUGACUAGUACUAGCAAUGGGCUACUCAAGGGAAGCAAAUAUGGAGAGGAUGUGAUCAUCGGGGUGGUUGACACCGGGAUAUGGCCGGAGUCGAGGAGCUUCAGCGACGAAGGGUACGGGCCGAUACCGUCAAGGUGGAAAGGAAAGUGCCAACUCGGGCCAGACUGGGGCAGCAACAAUUGCAGUCGGAAGAUCAUCGGCGCCCGCUUCUACACCGCCGGUGUGUCCGACGUGUUGCUCAAGAUGGACACACUCUCGCCUCGUGACAACAACGGACAUGGCACACACUGUGCGUCCACCUCUGCGGGCUCGAUUGUGGAGGCGGCUAGCUUCAAUGGCCUUGCCGAGGGGGUUGCAAGAGGAGGCGCGCCGCGUGCUCGCAUUGCUGUGUACAAGUCUGGGUGGGGUUCUGGCUCUUUUAGUAUCGCGAGUGUGCUAGCCGCUAUUGAUGAUGCGAUCCACGAUGGAGUGGACGUGUUGUCGCUCUCCAUCACUGGCGAGGAGCAGCUCGCCUUCGGUGCUCUACACGCGGUUCAAAAGGGGAUCACCGUGGUGUACAUAGCCGGCAACGAUGGACCUAGGCCACAAACAGUUGUGAAUAUUUCGCCGUGGGUCAUCACCGUGGCGGCGAGCAAGGUUGAUCGGUCAUUUCCGACCGUGAUCACGCUGGGAAACAAGCAACAAAUAGUGGGACAAUCUCUAUAUUACCAAGCGAAAAACUCAUCCGGGAGCAGUUUUGCAGGUCUUUUAGUUGGUGCAGGGUGUACCGCGGAUAGACUGAAUGGCACAGACGUGAGAGGGAUAAUCCUUUUCUGCUUACCAUUGAAAGACGAUGCAGGCACACCAGUGAGUACUUUUGAUUAUGCGUCACAAUACGUCCGAAGUGGCGGGGGAUGUGGUCUCAUUUUCGCCCAAUAUACGACGGACCUUUUAACCAUGACAGCAUCAGUUGCUUGCCAAGGCAUUGCCUGCGUUCUUGUGGACCUUGACACCGGGGAGAAGAUAAGAAAAUACGGGGGCGUCGCCGGGAGCUCUGCAGUGGCAAAGAUCGAACCAGCACACAUCGUUGCCGGGAAAGAGAUACCAGGACCAAAAGUGGCAGCGUUCUCCUCAAGAGGGCCAUCACGCCAUUACCCCGACAUUAUCAAGCCUGACAUAGCUGCGCCUGGAGCCAACAUCUUGGCAGCAGUGGGAAAUUCCUACGAAUUUAAGGAUGGGACAUCAAUGGCAGCUCCGCAUGUAUCCGGCAUCGUUGCGCUACUGAAAGCUGAGCAUCCACACUGGUCUCCUGCCGCGAUAAAAUCAGCCAUCAUGACCACAGCCCGUGUAACCGACAAUCGUGGCAUGCCGAUACUGGCGGAAGGGUUGCCCCGGAAGAUCGCUGACCCGUUUGACUAUGGAGGUGGCAACAUCAACCCCACUGGUGCAGCCGAUCCCGGCUUGGUCUACGACAUCGAUCCCCGUGACUACAACAAAUUCUUCAGGUGCACCAUUGUCAGGAGGACGAAUGCGAGUUGUGACGCGACGAUGCUACCGGCGUACCACCUGAACCUACCCUCCAUCGCGGUGUCUGAGUUGAGGCGCCCGAUCACUGUGUGGAGGACGGUGACGAAUGUCGGCGAGGCCGACUCUGUGUACCACGCAGAAGUCCAAUGCCCAGCUGGAGUCAUGAUGGAGGUCGAGCCGACGGUGCUCGUGUUCAACGCCACGGACAGAGUCCAUUCAUUUAAGGUGAAGUUGGCACCUAUGUGGAGGCUGCAAGGGGACUACACCUUUGGCAGCAUUACUUGGCGGAAGGACCAAAAAACCGUGAGGAUUCCUGUUGCGGCCCGCAUGACGAUUCAAGAUUUCUAUGCAGAUGUUGCAUAA
rnacentral:rRNA from 1 species